rnacentral:tRNA from 1 species
GGGCCUGUGGUCUAAUGGCAUGACGCCACCCUCGCACGGUGGAGACUCCGGGUUCGAUCCCCGGCAGGUCCA